ACUGUCUGGGUACUGCCAGCCAUCGGGCCCAGGUCUCUGGGGUUGUCUUACCGCAGUGAGUACCACGCGGUACUACAGAGACCGGCUGCCCGUGUGCCUGGCAGGUGGAGCCGUCCGCAUCAGCGGCCUCGGGGAAUGGAAGCGGAGAACGCGGGCAGCUAUUCCCUUCAGCAAGCUCAAGCUUUUUAUACGUUUCCAUUUCAACAACUGAUGGCUGAAGCUCCUAAUAUGGCAGUUGUGAAUGAACAGCAAAUGCCAGAAGAAGUUCCAGCCCCAGCUCCUGCUCAGGAACCAGUGCAAGAGGCUCCAAAAGGAAGAAAAAGAAAACCCAGAACAACAGAACCAAAACAACCAGUGGAACCCAAAAAACCUGUUGAGUCAAAAAAAUCUGGCAAGUCUGCAAGAUCAAAAGAAAAACAAGAAAAAAUUACAGACACAUUUAAAGUAAAAAGAAAAGUAGACCGUUUUAAUGGUGUUUCAGAAGCUGAACUUCUGACCAAGACUCUCCCUGAUAUUUUGACCUUCAAUCUGGACAUUGUCAUUGUAAGAUCUUUGUCCUCGUUGGAUUUUAUAAGUAGUAUUGGGGGAUCAGCUUUACUUAACAGUUGUCCUUGCAAAUAGCAUUUUGCUGAAAAGGACCAUUUCUAAGAAUCCUUUUGGUGGUAAAUGGUGUCACCUUCAUGAGGUUGUGUUAUAUGAGAGUGUUUAAGAGGGUGGGCUCCAAAUUUAGACUGGGUUCAAAUCCUGUCACAAGUAUAAUCUUGGAUAAGUCUUAUUAACCUUUCUAAACACCGGUUUUCUCAUUGAUAAACCAGGGGUGAUAAUACCACCCCCCGAUAGGGUUGCAAGUAAAUGAGAGAAUCCAUGUGAAUCACUUCAACUGAAUGAUACCUGUGGAGACUUGAUAAAUGGUAGCACUAAUUUUAAGCUCUUAUUUUUCUCAGUAACUGUAAGAAACAGCAUGUGAACAAUUGUGUAGGUGAUGUGGAGCGAGCUUCUUGUUGAAAGUUGAGAAUCAGAAUUGUGGCUGGACAUGGGCUCAGAUUGAUUGUUCCAGGACCUCUCUUUCCAGACUCAAAGCAGCCCAGUUGGUGAGGGUGAGAGGCCUGGGAUCAUAAAGGAGUCAAAGUGG
rnacentral:sRNA from 1 species